CCUACGGGAGGCAGCAGUGGGGAAUAUUGCACAAUGGGCGCAAGCCUGAUGCAGCCAUGCCGCGUGUGUGAAGAAGGCCUUCGGGUUGUAAAGCACUUUCAGCGGGGAGGAAGGCGGUGAGGUUAAUAACCUCAUCGAUUGACGUUACCCGCAGAAGAAGCACCGGCUAACUCCGUACCAGCAGCCGCGGUAAUACGGAGGGUGCAAGCGUUAAUCGGAAUUACUGGGCGUAAAGCGCACGCAGGCGGUCUGUCAAGUCGGAUGUGAAAUCCCCGGGCUCAACCUGGGAACUGCAUUCGAAACUGGCAGGCUAGAGUCUUGUAGAGGGGGGUAGAAUUCCAGGUGUAGCGGUGAAAUGCGUAGAGAUCUGGAGGAAUACCGGUGGCGAAGGCGGCCCCCUGGACAAAGACUGACGCUCAGGUGCGAAAGCGUGGGGAGCAAACAGGAUUAGAUACCCUAGUAGUC
rnacentral:rRNA from 1 species